AAGUCAAUAGCUCAGAUUGGUAGAGUGCUCGUCGACAAGCGAGAGGUCGCAGGUUCAAGCCCUGCUUGGUUUG
rnacentral:tRNA from 1 species